GUUGGGGGUCGGUGGUGAGCAAGCAGAGACUACAUAGGUUGCCUUGUAUCCCACUUCUGACACCAUGUAUUGUCAAC
ensembl:miRNA